rnacentral:snoRNA from 1 species
CCAAUGAGGGCAUCCAACGGACUGGCCUCUGUUGGCGCUGCCCAUUUGGCUUACGGAGCUUAGUGCCUUUGCGCACAAACUUUAUGAAGUAUAGUCCACAGCCAAUGCAUUGGAUAUCAAGCCGUGCUAGCGUACUACGAGAAAUCAUAGUACGCCAGGCUGUCGGCAAUUGCAUAUUCCUUGCGUUUCCUGUAGUCACUAUGUGACAGUAAUCAGGGAGAUAAACCAUGCAAUAAACAUUU